UGUGAAAAUCAUUUCCAGUAAAGGACAAGGUUGUAACAGUCGUUGUUUAGGUACCUCAAACGUGCACAAACGGUCUCUGAGUCAUCGCUGCAACCAGGAGAUGAAGGAGAGCUGAGAUCCACAACGCCUAGCACAUCUUUGUCUCGGACACCGCAGGAUGCUAGCGAUGCUAGCGCGGUUAGCGCGGCCAGCGCCGGUGCUAUAGCCUUUGCCUCUGCCUCGCGAGUGGAUGAUAUAGCCCCUAUGGAUAUAGCCCUGUGGAUCGGUCUUCCGUGGAUGAGCCUUAUAUAUAUGUCAAUGGGAUGAGCCCGCAACUCAACCAGUGCUAAAGUAUCCGGUCACUUCUUCUGCUGAGUUUGAUUGUGUAGGACCGCCAGAGGAUAACAGUAAGAUGUGAUGCACGGUGCUGACCCCCCGAUGUCAUCUCAGCCAAGAACUCCACCAGCUUGGGUGGGUGAGGCUGCUGCCAUGGAAACAGUUCUUGGUUUGGAUAUGUUCGUCAGUUGGAAGAAGCAGUUUCUAAUGAACUGUUCGAAGAGAUACUCCAAGGACAGCACAGAUUAAAAAACAACACCUAAAUACCCGAAACUCGGCUGGACAGACGAGCCUAAAGCACCAACAAAAGUGUUUCAGUGGAGUAUAUACUUGAUGGUGUUUUAAGCCUCCAACGUCGACUUCAAGACAGCGCUGCGAC